AUGAAGUUUAAUGUCGAUGGUGCAGUUGCAAGGCACAAACGUGGAGGUGUUGUUGCAGCACUAUGUCGGGACUCCAAUGGCAAUUACCUGGGAUCGUCGGCAGUGGUCUUUUUUGGGAUCAUCGACCUUGUGAUUCUGGAAACGUAUGCGUGCAGAGAAGCGCUGGCUCUUGCAGAUGACCUCUCCAUCCAGAACUUUGCAGUAGCCUGUGACUGCUAGGAAGUGGUGAACGACAUAAAAUCCGGGACAGGAGGUCCCCAUGCAGCGAUCGUACAUGAAAUCAUAGAACGUAGCAAUAGUUUUACUCCAUGCUCUUUUGUUCAUGAGCGUAGAAACUUUAAUUUUGAGGCACACAAUCUCGUCAAGUUUGUUUGUAACUUAGGUCCCGGGAGACAUGUUUGGUUGGAAAACCCAUAUGACCCAAACCGUGUACCGAUGAACAUUGUUUUGAAUCAAUAA
rnacentral:rRNA from 1 species